UACGUAGGGUCCGAGCGUUGUCCGGAAUUAUUGGGCGUAAAGGGCUCGUAGGCGGUCUGUCGCGUCGGGAGUGAAAACUCAGGGCUCAACCCUGAGCGUGCUUCCGAUACGGGCAGACUAGAGGUAUGCAGGGGAGAACGGAAUUCCUGGUGUAGCGGUGGAAUGCGCAGAGUAUCAGGAGGAACACCGGUGGCGAAGGCGGUUCUCUGGGCAUGACCUGACGCUGAGGAGCGAAAGCAUGGGGAGCGAACAGG
rnacentral:rRNA from 1 species